rnacentral:lncRNA from 1 species
GAGCGCGUGUGAAGCGGGGAUGUGGACAUUAGGCCCAGCUGCGCCCGAUGCCUCCGCUCCAGGUCUGGGCCCACGCUGCUCUUGGGCAGUGCUCCUAAUCCCGGCCCGACGCAAGCUCGCCCGCGCCCUGCCUCCUCCUCCGCGGUGGGAGUGUGCGGGGGGUCUCUUCAUGGGUACAGGAAGACUGACUUUCAAGGCUCCAUGAUCCAAGAUGGCAAGUCUGUGGUAGAAGAGAGAACCUCCACAUCUCAGAAGAUGAAUGAAUGUCUCAUGUCUGUUGAUGAUCCAGAUCAGGCCAUGUGCCAAUCCUUAAAUCAAUUACUCUAGAGCAGUGUUUCCCAACCUUCCUAAUGCUGAGGUCCUUUAUUACCUGUUCUCAUUUCGUGUGAUCUGCAACCAUAACAUUAUUUCUUUGCUACUUCAUAACUGUAAUUUUGUUACUGUUAUGAAUGAUAAUGUAAAUAUCUGAUAUGCAACCCCAAAAGGGGUCCUGACCCACAGGUUGAGAAGUGCUGCUCUAAGUAAAAGGACAUGAUAUGCUGAUUAAUUUAGUCAUGGCCACAGUAAAAUUAAGAAGGGAAUAGGCCAUGCAAAUCAUGUGGCCUGGCAUUGACGGGAAAUUAGGAAGACUCAUGUAAAUACAGUGACCAAAAUGGCAAAUAUCAGGUAUAUUAUAGCUAAUUAAAGGACUCAUGACAUAGCUAACUAAAGGACUUAUGAAUGUCAAUAAACCUUUAGCAGAGCA